rnacentral:rRNA from 1 species
UACGUAGGGGGCAAGCGUUAUCCGGAUUUACUGGGUGUAAAGGGAGCGUAGACGGCAGGGCAAGUCUGAUGUGAAAGGUCGGGGCCCAACCCCGGGACUGCAUUGGAAACUGUCCGGCUGGAGUACAGGAGAGGUAAGUGGAAUUCCUAGUGUAGCGGUGAAAUGCGUAGAUAUUAGGAGGAACACCAGUGGCGAAGGCGGUCUGCUGGACAGCAACUGACGCUGAGGCGCGAAAGCGCGGGGAGCAAACAGG